GACCUCAGUUCAGGUGAGAUUACCGGCUGAAUUUAAGCAUAUUACUAAGCCGAGGAAAAGAAACUAACAAGGAUUCCCCUAGUAGCAGCGAGCGAACAGGGAAGAGCCCAGCGCUGAAUCCCCCGGGCCUCGCUCGGCGGGAAAUGUAGCGUUUGGGAGGGCCCGUCAACACGGCGACUCGCUCACUGGUUCAAGUCCAACUUGAAUGGGGCCACACAGAGGGUGACAGGCCCGUAGAGCAGGAGCGGUUGUCGUGUGGGUCUCUCCUUAGAGUCGGUUUGCUUGAGAGUGCAGACUUAAGUGGGUGGUAAACUCCAUCUAAGGCUAAAUAUGACCACGAGACCGAUAGCACACAAGUACCGUGAGGGAAAGGUGAAAAGAACUUUGAAGAGAGAGUUCAAGAGU
rnacentral:rRNA from 1 species